rnacentral:rRNA from 1 species
UACGUAGGGGGCAAGCGUUGUCCGGAUUUAUUGGGCGUAAAGAGCGUGUAGGCGGCCAGACAAGUCUGCUGUGAAAACUCGAGGCUCAACCUCGAGCUGUCGGUGGAAACUGUCUGGCUAGAGUCCGGAAGAGGAGAGUGGAAUUCCUGGUGUAGCGGUGAAAUGCACAGAUAUCAGGAAGAACACCUAUGGCGAAGGCAGCUCUCUGGGACGGUACUGACGCUGAGACGCGAAAGCGUGGGGAGCGAACAGG